GGGCAUUUAGUCUAGUGGUAUGAUUCUCGCUUUUGGUGUGAUAGGUCUAGAGUUCAAUUCUCAGAACGCCCC
rnacentral:tRNA from 2 species